AGGGUUUGAUCAUGGCUCAGGAUGAACGCUGGCGGCGUGCUUAACACAUGCAAGUCGAGCGAAGCACUUAAGAAAGAUUCUUCGGAUGAUUUCUUAUUUGACUGAGCGGCGGACGGGUGAGUAACGCGUGGGUAACCUGCCUCAUACAGGGGGAUAACAGUUAGAAAUGGCUGCUAAUACCGCAUAAGACCACAGUACCGCAUGGUACAGUGGUAAAAACUCCGGUGGUAUGAGAUGGACCCGCGUCUGAUUAGCUAGUUGGUGGGGUAAUGGCCUACCAAGGCGACGAUCAGUAGCCGACCUGAGAGGGUGACCGGCCACAUUGGGACUGAGACACGGCCCAG
rnacentral:rRNA from 1 species